rnacentral:rRNA from 1 species
AUGGAGAGUCUUUUGCAUUGGGAUUUUGCCCCUGGCCUAGCCCUUGCAGAUCAGGUGAGGAGACGGUUCGGAUCUACAGUGCACUUUUCCCGCUCUCGGGACCGCAAGGAAUUCUUUCUUGUGGCCACGUUUUCUUCUGCCUCCUUCCCUCUUACGGUGGAUUCAGUUGGAAUUGCUUUGCAAUGUUGUUUGGGUGGAAUGAGCUCUGGUUUCAAGGUUGUUCAAAUUAAUCCUCGAGCUUUCCGCUUCUCAGUUGCCAACAACAAGGUGGGGAAUUUCAUAUAUGGUCUCAAAGAUCGAGUUUGGCCGGAUUUUGUAUGCCAUUUUCAUCUUUUCAAGGGCCGUUUCACUCAUGCUCCUAUUCUGGAUCAUUGUUGGCACGCUGAUGAAGAAUUGGUUGAUUUGUCGUCACGACGACCGAUGGCUAUUAAACCACGUUUGGAUUUUCUCAAAUAG